GCCGGGUGUGGUGGCGCACGCCUGUAGUCCCAGCUACUCGGGAGGCUGAGGCACAAGAAUCGCUUGAACCCAGGAGGCAGAGGUUGCAGUGAGCCAAGAUCAUGCCACUGAGCUCCAGCCUGGGCGACAGAGUGAGACUCUGUCUCAA
rnacentral:SRP_RNA from 2 species